CCUUGACAUACUAAGAACUUUCCAGAGAUGGAUUGGUGCCUUCGGGAACUUAGAUACAGGUGCUGCAUGGCUGUCGUCAGCUCGUGUCGUGAGAUGUUGGGUUAAGCCCCGCAACGAGCGCAACCCUUUUCCUUAUUUGCCAGCGGGUCAUGCCGGGAACUUUAAGGAUACUGCCAGUGACAAACUGGAGGAAGGCGGGGACGACGUCAAGUCAUCAUGGCCCUUACGGCCAGGGCUACACACGUGCUACAAUGGUCGGUACAAAGGGUUGCUACCUCGCGAGAGGAUGCUAAUCUCAAAAAGCCGAUCGUAGUCCGGAUCGCAGUCUGCAACUCGACUGCGUGAAGUCGGAAUCGCUAGUAAUCGCGGAUCAGAAUGCCGCGGUGAAUACGUUCCCGGGCCUUGUACACACCGCCCGUCACACCAUGGGAGUUUGUUGCACCAGAAGUAGGUAGUCUAACCGCAAGGAGGACGCUUACCACGGUGUGGCCGAUGACUGGGGUGAAGUCGUAACAAGGUAAGCGUAGAUGA
rnacentral:rRNA from 1 species